CAGGUGGAAAAGCUCCAUCUCCACUGCAGCUCCAUGAUGUGUGAAAUAGCCUCUCUGUGCGUGCCUGCUUGGAUGCCUUUGAGCUAAAGGAGAAAACUUCGGAGCCAGCCCUACAGUCCCAGUCCAGCUUUGGAUCUGCCUGUGCUCCGUUCUGGCCCCAUGACAGCCCUUUGUACAAGGUGCUUAAGACCACCUCUGAAAAGCUUCUUUGCACAAUUCUGAUGACAUCAGCAGUAAUAAACCCACUGAUGAAGGCAGUUUAACAAAAGUUGUGCAACACUGAACCAUGCAAAGGAACCAGGGCAGAUGGAGAGUGACACUUCCUAUGUAUUUGCAUCCUG